UGGUAGUGAGCCAGUAUGUUUGGACAGCGGUUAAUAUUUAUUUAGUUAUCAGUCCACAGGCGGCCCAAACUCUGAAUGGUCUAUAUAUUUUGAAUAUUAUACGGAAUAUUUAUAUGUUAUAAUAUUUAACGAAAUAAUUAAAAAAAUAUCAACAAUAUACCGGGUGUCUCAAAAAAACAGUGGCGGAAAUUCACUUUUUCCGGUGGGUGGGCAAAAC